GGUCUGGUAGGGUGAGCGGCCACACUGGGGCUGGAGGUCUGCCCAGACUCGGACGGGAGGCAUCACGGGGGAAUAUUGCACAAUGGGCGAAAGCCUGAUGCAGCGACGCCGCGUGAGGGAUGACGGCCUUCGGGUUGUAAACCUCUUUCAGCAGGGAAGAAGCGAAAGUGACGGUACCUGCAGAAGAAGCGCCGGCUAACUACGUGCCAGCAGCCGCGGUAAUACGUAGGGCGCGAGCGUUGUCCGGAAUUAUUGGGCGUAAAGAGCUCGUAGGCGGCUUGUCACGUCGGUUGUGAAAGCCCGGGGCUUAACCCCGGGUCUGCAGUCGAUACGGGCAGGCUAGAGUUCGGUAGGGGAGAUCGGAAUUCCUGGUGUAGCGGUGAAAUGCGCAGAUAUCAGGAGGAACACCGGUGGCGAAGGCGGAUCUCUGGGCCGAUACUGACGCUGAGGAGCGAAAGCGUGGGGAGCGAACAGGAUUAGAUACCCUGGUAGUCCACGCCGUAAACGGUGGGCACUAGGUGUGGGCGACAUUCCACGUCGUCCGUGCCGCAGCUAACGCAUUAAGUGCCCCGCCUGGGGAGUACGGCCGCAAGG
rnacentral:rRNA from 1 species